rfam:Brachypodium distachyon strain Bd21 chromosome 3, whole genome shotgun sequence.
CAAAUACUCCCUCCGUUCCAUAAUUCUUGUCUCAAAUUUGUCCAAAAGUGGAUGCAUCUAUUCCUAAAAAGUAUCUACGUACAUGUAAUAUUUCGACAAGAAUUAUGGAACGGAGGGAGUAAUUC